rnacentral:rRNA from 1 species
GACGAACGCUGGCGGCGCGCUUAACACAUGCAAGUCGAGCGAGAACCAGGGCUUCGGCCCUGGGGACAGCGGCGAACGGGUGAGUAACACGUGGAUAACCUGCCCUCGGCACCGGGAUAGCCCGGGGAAACUCGGAUUAAUACCGGAUAGCCCUUCCGACUCUCGAGUCGGUCCGAAAAGGUAGCUUCGGCCUCUGGCCGAGGAUGGGUCCGCGGCGGAUUAGCUUGUUGGUGGGGUAACGGCCUACCAAGGCUCCGAUCCGUAGCUGGUCUGAGAGGACGAUCAGCCACACUGGGACUGAGACACGGCCCAGACUCCUACGGGAGGCAGCAGUGGGGAAUCUUGCGCAAUGGGCGAAAGCCUGACGCAGCGACGCCGCGUGAGGGAUGACGGCC